CCGCGGUAAUACGUAGGUGGCGAGCGUUAUCCGGAAUUACUGGGUGUAAAGGGUGCGCAGGCGGAAGAUUAAGUCGGCGGUGAAAUUUUGCAGCUCAACUGUAAAAGUGCCAUCGAUACUGGUUUUCUUGAGUGUGGAUGAAGUAGGCGGAAUUUGUGGUGUAGCGGUGAAAUGCAUAGAUAUCACGAGGAACUCCGAUUGCGCAGGCAGCUUACUAGGCCAUAACUGACGCUCAGGCACGAAGGCGUGGGGAUCAAACAGG
rnacentral:rRNA from 1 species